rnacentral:rRNA from 1 species
UACGUAGGGGGCAAGCGUUGUCCGGAAUCAUUGGGCGUAAAGAGCGUGUAGGCGGUCCGGUAAGUCGGUUGUGAAAGCCCAGGGCUCAACCCUGGGAUGCCGACCGAUACUGUCGGACUAGAGUUCGGAAGAGGCGAGUGGAAUUCCCGGUGUAGCGGUGAAAUGUGUAGAGAUCGGGAGGAACACCGGUGGCGAAGGCGGGUCUCUGGGCAUCUACUGACGCUGAGGAGCGAAAGCGUGGGGAGCGAACAGG